rnacentral:rRNA from 1 species
UUAAUCUAUGCAGGUGAGCUGAAGGUGGUAGUGUCCAUGGUGACGGGGCUGGAGCCGAGGGAGCAGAGGCUGCUCUUCAGGGGCAAGGAGAGGGAGGACAGCGACCACCUCCAUAUGGUUGGGGUGAGGGACAAGGACAAGGUGCUGCUCCUUGAGGCAAGAUUUCGUGUUUUGACCCUUUUGUCAAACAAAAUCAAGAUCUGGCCCCAGUUUGAAAGUUUUUCGAGAUUUGACCCUUUCCCCUACCGCCACGAGGCACGGCGGUAG